AAUAAGGCUUUUUUUAAAGCCAUAUGAGUUUAUCUUGAAACUAGCA
rfam:Chelonia mydas contig210962, whole genome shotgun sequence.